rnacentral:rRNA from 1 species
AGGAAAAGAAACUAACAAGGAUUCCCCUAGUAACGGCGAGCGAAGCGGGAAGAGCUCAAAUUUGAAAGCUGGCGUCUUCGGCGUCCGCGUUGUAAUCUCGAGACGUGUUUUCCGUGCGGCUCUAUGGACAAGUCCCUUGGAACAGGGCAUCGUARAGGGUGAAAAUCCCGUACUUGCCAUGGAAGUACCGUGCUUUGUGAUACACGUUCCAAGAGUCGAGUAGUUUGGGAUUGCUGCUCAAAGUGGGUGGUAGACUCCAUCUAAAGCUAAAUAUCGGGGAGAGACCGAUAGCGAACAAGUACCGUGAGGGAAAGAUGAAAAGCACUUUGGAAAGAGAGUUAAAAGUACGUGAAAUUGUCGAAAGGGAAGCACUUGAAGUCAGCCAUGCUGCUUGAGACUCAGCCUGGCUUUUGCUUGGUGUAUUUCUCGGUAGCAAGCCAGCAUUGGUUUGUGUCGUCGGAGAAGCGUAUGGGGAAUGUGGCAUCCUCGGAUGUGUUAUAGCCCUGUGCUGGAUACGACGACGCARACCAAGGAACGCAGUGUGCCCUCUGGGCGGGUCUUCGGACACCUUCACACUUAGGAUGCUGGCGUAAUGGCUUUAAGUGGCCCGU